rnacentral:pre_miRNA from 1 species
AGUGGAAUUGCUGGGUCAGAUGGUAAUUCUGUGGUUAACUUGUUGAGGAAUUCCGAGACUGUUUUCCAAAGUGGCUGCACCAUUUUACAUUCCCACCAGUAAU